GGGACCGCCGAGCCGCUCACUGAAGCAUCUGGGCCCCCUGGGGCGGACGGCAGGGGGCUGCGGGGCGCGGGGCGCAACCGUUCUCACCGCAGGGAGGUGUUACUAUCGUCCUAAUCCGAGGGGAUUCUUCCUGUGGGUAGAAUGGAACGGGUGUCCUGAGUGUCUUUGUAAGGGAUCCUGAUACCCCGCCAAAGCCCGGGCAGUCAGAAUCUCACUUUUUGUUUUUGUUUCUGUUUGUUUUUAAAAUUACAAAAGCUUCCUGUCCCCGUGGUCUGGAGGAAACUGUAAUUAUUCUUUCUUCUUGGAGACAGUUGGAAAAGGUGUCCACUGCCCGAUGCCGUUGUUUAAAAAGCAAGCGAGUCUGACCAAGUUCCUCAAGCUUUUCAGAAAAGACAGAAGAAAAUAAGUGAAACCGUUCUUGCUUGCUUCAGGGUGAACUUUUCCAAAGGCCUUCAAGUUCACAGACCCGCUUGGAUUUUGACCGUCUUAAUAAAAAGUGCAUGGUACAGGUCCUUCCUGAA